GAUGAACGCUGGCGGCGUGCCUAAUACAUGCAAGUCGAGCGAACGGACGAGAAGCUUGCUUUUCUGAUGUUAGCGGCGGACGGGUGAGUAACACGUGGAUAACCUACCUAUAAGACUGGGAUAACUUCGGGAAACCGGAUCUACUACCGGAUAAUAUUUUGAACCGCAUUGUUCAAAAGUGAAAGACGGUCUUGCUGUCACUUAUAGAUGGAUCCGCGCUGCAUUAGCUAGUUGGUAAGGUAACGGCUUACCAAGGCAACGAUGCAUAGCCGACCUGAGAGGGUGAUCGACAACACUGGAACUGAGACACGGUCCAGACUCCUACGGGAGGCAGCAGUAGGGAAUCUACCGGAAGGGGCGAAAGCCUGACGGAGCAACGCCGCGUGAGUGAUGAAGGGCUUCGGAUCGUAAACUCUGUUAUUAGGGAAGAACAUAUGUGUAAGUACCUGUGCACAUCUUGACGGUACCUAAUCAGAAAGCCACGGCUAACUACGUG
rnacentral:rRNA from 1 species